UACAGAGGUCCCAAGCGUUGUUCGGAUUCAUUGGGCGUAAAGGGCGCGUAGGCGGCCUCUUAAGUCGAACGUGAAAUCCCCGGGCUCAACCCGGGAACUGCGUCCGAUACUGGGGGGCUUGAAUCCGGGAGAGGGAUGUGGAAUUCCUGGUGUAGCAGUGAAAUGCGUAGAUAUCAGGAGGAAUACCGAUGGCGAAGGCAGGUCUCUGGGCUGACACUGACGCUCAUGCACGAAAGCGUGGGGAGCAAACAGG
rnacentral:rRNA from 1 species